AUUGAACGCUGGCGGCAUGCCUUACACAUGCAAGUCGAACGGUAACAGGUUAAGCUGCCGAGUGGCGAACGGGUGAGUAAUGUAUCGGAACGUGCCCAGUCGUGGGGGAUAACUGCUCGAAAGAGCAGCUAAUACCGCAUACGACCUGAGGGUGAAAGCGGGGGAUCACAAGACCUCGCGCGAUUGGAGCGGCCGAUAUCAGAUUAGGUAGUUGGUGAGGUAAAGGCUCACCAAGCCGACGAUCUGUAGCUGGUCUGAGAGGACGACCAGCCACACUGGGACUGAGACACGGCCCAGACUCCUACGGGAGGCAGCAGUGGGGAAUUUUGGACAAUGGGCGCAAGCCUGAUCCAGCCAUGCCGCGUGCGGGAAGAAGGCCUUCGGGUUGUAAACCGCUUUUGUCAGGGAAGAAAAGGUUCUGGCUAAUACCUGGGACUCAUGACGGUACCUGAAGAAUAAGCACCGGCUAACUACGUG
rnacentral:rRNA from 1 species